rnacentral:tRNA from 1 species
CUUUCCAAAUUUGUUAUCUUUAU